ACCACUGUUCCUGAAACCUGGUCAGAGCGGAAGUAAGGACUGGUGUCAGGAGGGAGCUGCUAGGUGGCAAAGGGAAGAGCCCUCAGGAUAGAAAGAGCUCAGGGGCUGGAGUGCUACCACUGCCCAGAUGACCCACGAGAGUCUUCCUGCAAUACCACAACCUGCCCCUUCCCUGAUGGAUUCUGUGUUACUCAGGAGGCAGAAAUUAUUGUGGACUCUCAAAGAAGGAAAGUAAAGAGCCAUCAGUGCCUUUCUUACUGCCCUACUGAUCUUGAAAAUAGCCCGAUCAAGGAUCCUAAGGUCAAGGUGAAGAUUUCCUGUUGCCAGGAAGACCUCUGCAAUGCAGCAGUUCCCACUGAAGGCAGCACCUGGACCAUGGCAGGGGUGCUUCUGUUCAGCCUGAGCUCAGUCCUCCUGCAGACCUUGCUGUGAUGGUCCUUCCAACAACCCUCACCCUUGUCCUUUUAUCCUCAUGUGCAACCACUCUUUCCUGGAGUCCUCUAGUGAUGAAUUAUGAGUUAUAGAAGCUCCAAGGUGGGAGUACUGUGUGGAACACCCUGUUUUACCUUUAUAGCCCCUGCUGGGUAGGUGCCCCACUCCUCUCUAAGGCUUUCAGAUCUGUACUUCCUGGAAUGUUAUUUUGUUGUGGCUUGCAAUUCCUGGCCCUGGAGGCAUGUGGCCAGCACAGGCAUGAGCCAGUAUUCCAAGGUGUUAUGCCAUCACCAUCCAC
rnacentral:lncRNA from 1 species